GAGAGUUAAACAGUACGUGAAAUUGUUGAAAGGGAAACGAUUGAAGCCAGUCGUACCUAUGGGUAAUCAGCCUUUUGGGUGUGAUUUUGUGGAGCGUGAAGAGUUAAACGCCUUCAUGCCUGCAUAUUCGUGCACUUUGGGUGUACUUGCCCGUGUGUAAGUUAACAUCAAUUUUGGUGGUCAUAAAAUGGCUGGAGGAAUGUAGCUUCGAUCUUGUAUUGAAGUGUUAUAGCCUUCGGUAGAUGUGACGAUCGGGAUUGAGGAUUGCAACGGAUACCCUUCGGGGCUACCUGUCUGAUCUCUGAUUGUUGCUCUGGUGCCGAAAGCUUGCUUACGGUUAUUAAAGUCGAUGGUCAAUAGGUUAGAAUGGGUUAAAUUCGUUAAGGAUGUUGACGUAAUGGCUUUAAACGA
rnacentral:rRNA from 1 species